UGCGAGGAAGCGGGAAAGCGAAGGGGAGAAGGCAGCGGGACCCAGAUGGAGGGAACAGAAGGAGCCAAGACGCAGAGGCAUGGGAGCAGCCUUGGCCCUUGGGCUUCGAGAAGGCGGAAGGCUCAGCAGACGCAGCUGAAGGGGUCUGGCAGCCCUGGCUCAGCAAAGCUGCCGUCCGCAUUGCAUCUUCGUGGGAACCCGUCGCUCUGGUUGGCGGCCGACGCGCCUGAGUUUCCACCGUUGUGACUUCUAUCCACCAGCCCCUCCGACUGCGGGACUAUCCCCAGCUCCACCCCCACGACCAGCCAUGUGACCUCAGCGAGGCCGGCUUGCCUCUCAGUGCCUCAGUGUCCCCGUCUACGCAAUGGGGAGGGGCAGAGGACCCAGGAGGGCCCGGUUCAUGACACAAGUGUCAGAGUUUAGCCUCAGGCCCAGUGCCCCUUUCCUGGCGUGUGACUCAGAUCACUCGUUCUUUCCCGUCCUGUUUCCUCACCUGUAAAAUGGAGAGAUAAUAAUGCUUGGAAGGUGGGAGAAGGGGGAGCAGGAGCCCCUCUGCCCCCGCCCCCACAGCCUCCUUGGCAGCCAGUACAGUGUGAGGACAGCUCCCACCCUCCCUGAGCAAAACCCAGAUAGAAUCAGCCAUCCGUUUGCAGACCAGAAGGAUGUUUUCCUCCCUUCUGGCUCUUCUAGCUCCCCCACAGAGCCCAAGAGCCCAUGAGUGCCCCCCCCAUUACCGAUAUCCUGCCUGCCCUGGGCCAGGCUGGUGGGAGACCCAGCCCCGGAGGGGAUCCCAGGCUGGGGAAGCCAGAACCAGCCAGAGACCCCCAGCCCAAAUGGUCAGGCUGGGCGGGAGAAGACGGGGUGCCCCACGGUGGAGUGGCUGAAGCCUCAGUGGGGGGUUCACAAAGCCUCGUGCAGACAUGGACCCUGAGUUCUGAAGACCAGGGAGGAUUCACACACGGGAAGGAAAGCCAUUCCUGGCGGAGAAAAUGGCGAAGGCAGACGCAUGGAGGCAGAAAGCAAAAAAAUAAAAUAAAAUCACAAAUUCUGGUCUCAUCUGGAACCCAAAGUGGCUCGCCUGGGUAGAGCAGCCCACCCGGGCUUUGCAGGACAAGCUCUCAAGUCAGAACCCACCCUGAUGUAGACAGCGGAGGUCAAGAACACAGAUCCUAGAGUCAGAUAAGCACUUGCAAAGUGGGGGUAAUAAUAGCUUGCUCCCCCAGAGCUAUUGUGAGGAAGAGAUGAGUGAAGAGAAGUGUGUAAACACUCAGCACAUACUCAAGUACUCACAAGGCCGCUGUUGUUACUAUGGCUCCAAACAGAACCACGCAGAUCAUUUUUUCACAGUUAUAUAUUCAUUUCAAUGUAUAGCCUCCCAAAUUUAUACUUACCAUCUACUUCACUCAAAAAAUAUAUAUAUCUGUGCUUCCAUCGUUGGAUAUAA